rnacentral:misc_RNA from 1 species
GAGGAAGUUUUUAGAGGUAAGGGAUAGAUUUAUAAAGUAACAUACUUGUUUGGGAGGAAGGUUUUCUAAAGGAGGUAAGGUUUACAGAGAUUUCAAAACCUCUAAAACCUUUACUUUUUUAACUCACUAAAUUAGUUUGUUGAGAAGAUUUUGUUACCUUAUCUUACCUUACUUUAUAAAUAUUUCCUUCACUCCAUUCAAAUACACUGUUAAAGGGAGUGGGGUUCUUGGAUUUGAGUAUCCAUUGAUACGAUGAGGAUUAUAUGUAAAGAGGGUUGAGAUACCAUUAUUGUGUAGCUCAUAUAUGCCACAUUAAGACUUAAUUAUGACCCAUAUAAAGUUAAAGAAAAUCCCAGUGUGUAUUCAAAGGCUAGUUUUAAUUUUACCAACUAAAAUAGAAAUGAACAUUCAUAUAUAGGUCCAAAUUUCAAUGAGUUUAGCAAGUACAAGGCCUUCCAAAGCACAUUGAGGCCAAUGAGCCUAGGGGUUACCAUCUAUGCAAAAUAUCAUUUGACACAGUACACAAAUCUAUAUCAGACUCGAAAACUUGUAUUUUU